rnacentral:rRNA from 1 species
GAUGAACGCUGGCGGCGUGCCUAAUACAUGCAAGUCGAGCGAACAGACGAGGAGCUUGCUCCUCUGACGUUAGCGGCGGACGGGUGAGUAACACGUGGAUAACCUACCUAUAAGACCGGGAUAACUUCGGGAAACCGGAGCUAAUAUCGGAUAAUAUAUUGAACCGCAUGGUUCAAUAGUGAAAGACGGUUUUGCUGUCACUUAUAGAUGGAUCCGCGCCGCAUUAGCUAGUUGGUAAGGUAACGGCUUACCAAGGCAACGAUGCGUAGCCGACCUGAGAGGGUGAUCGGCCACACUGGAACUGAGACACGGUCCAGACUCCUACGGGAGGCAGCAGUAGGGAAUCUUCCGCAAUGGGCGAAAGCCUGACGGAGCAACGCCGCGUGAGUGAUGAAGGUCUUCGGAUCGUAAAACUCUGUUAUUAGGGAAGAACAAAUGUGUAAGUAACUAUGCACGUCUUGACGGUACCUAAUCAGAAAGCCACGGCUAACUACGUG